UGUCUUCUUUGGAAAAGUGUCUGUUCAUGUCUUUUGCCCACUUCUUGACUGGAUUAUUUGUUUAUUAGGUGUUGAGUUUAAAGCUACCAGCUUAUCAAGCCCUUCCUUUUGAAUCUCCCAGCAGCCUAGUGAAGGAGGCCAACUUGGAAUGUGCAUUCUGCACAGGAAGGAGACUGAACUCUGAGAGGCAGAUGCCUUCCCCCCAAGCCCGUCAGCUUCUAGGUGCACAGAAUCAGGAUUUCAACUGAGAUCUCCCGACACCAAAUCCAGGGCUCUUUCCGUUCCAUUCUGGAGAGGGACUUGCGACAAUGAGCCCCUAAAUGCCAGAAAAAAGAAGAGCGUGAUGAAGAGGAAGUGAGAGUCUUGUUCCUCAUGGGGGAAAAGAGGUAUUAUUUCAAAGAGGAAAGACAGGAAAAUGAGCCAGUAAAGGACCAAUGGUAACGGAGAGGUAGACUUUAGCUGAAGGCAAGGAAGAACUUUCUACAAUGUGGAAUUUUCUGGAUGUUUGUUAAAAAGCUACCUCACACUAUUAAGCUCUGCCUUGUUGGAGGACUGCAAAGAAAAGAGCCACCUCUUGCCUGCUGGCUUCCAGAUGGAAGCGUAGAGUGGAGAGUGGGGGCUGAAUGACUCCUGGUUCUGAGCUUGCCUGUCAGUGUCCGACAUCAUAGGACAUACUAUUGCAUAACUCACGGACUCUGCGUGAAUGGCGCCCCCUGGUGUAGCUUCAGUGCCCAGCAUCCUCCGACUCCUCAAAAGAAAGCCCGAUUGUUGAACCUGGAACUCUUGAGCGUCCGUCUCUGUCUUUGAAUGUUGUAAGAGAGAAUCAUUAAGAGGAUGAAAAGAUGAGGGAUUUUCCUCCAUUCUGUAUGUGAAGCAGCAAGAAAAUAAAUGUGAAUUCUUUAGUUCUCUGCUAACUCGGGCUGCUUGGCAGAAGAGGCAAUGAAUUAUUUCUGCUCCAGACUCUGCG